UGAUCAGUCACACUGGAACUGAGACACGGUCCAGACUCCUACGGGAGGCAGCAGUAGGGAAUAUUGCGCAAUGGACGAAAGUCUGACGCAGCGACACCGCGUGUGGGAUGACGCUCCUAGGAGUGUAAACCACUGUGGCAGGGGAUGAAAUUUGACAGUACCCUGCUAGAAAGCACCUGCUAACCACGUGCCAGAAGCCUCGGUAAUACGUGGGGUGCAAGCGUUAUCCGGAUUUACUGGGCGUAAAGCGUACCGUCGGUUGUUUUUUAUGUUUCUUGUUUAAGCCCGAGGCUCAACUUCGGACAAGCAAGAAAAACUGGAAAACUUGAGUUUGUUUGAGGCAGCUGGAAUUCUCAGUGGAGGGGUGAAAUCCGUAGAUAUUGAGAGGAACGCCAAUCGCGAAGGCAGGCUGCUAAGACAUAACUGACACUCAUGGACGAAAGCUGGGGUAGCAAAAGGGAUUAGAGACCCCUGUAGUCCCAGCCGUAAACACUCCUUGCUAGUUGCUCGGGUUUACCUGAGUGGCGUAAGCUAACGCGUUAAGCAAGGCGCCUGGGGAGUACGACCGCAAGGUUAAAACUCAAAGGAAUUGACGGGGGAGCGCACAACCGGUGGAGCAUGUGGUUUAAUUCGAUACAAAGCGAAAAACCUUACCCGGGAUUGACAUGUACCUGCACGUUCUAUGAAAGUAGAAUUUCUUCGAGAGUGGUACACAGGUGAUGCAUGGCUGUCGUCAGCUCGUGUCGUGAGACGUCCACUUAAGUGUGGUAACGAGCGCAACCCUUGUUCUGUGUUAUACGUGUCACAGAAGACUGCCCUAGUUAUACUAGGGAGGAAGGAGAGGAUGAUGUCAAGUCAGCAUGUCCCUUACACCCGGGGCAACACACAUCCUACA
rnacentral:rRNA from 1 species